rnacentral:tRNA from 1 species
AAAGAAAUAUUAAAAAAAAGCUUCUAACUUUAAUAAAGCAUAACAAUCAUGUUAAU